rnacentral:misc_RNA from 1 species
GAUGAAGAACGUAGCGAAAUGCGAUAAGUAGUGUGAAUUGCAGAAUUCAGUGAAUCAUCGAAUCUUUGAACGCACAUUGCGCCCCUUGGUAUCCCGAGGGGCAUGCCUGUUCGAGCGUCAUUUCACCACUCAAGCCUGGCUUGGUGUUGGGCGACGUCCCCUUUGGGGACGCGCCUCGAAACGCUCGGCGGCGUGGCACCGGCUUUAAGCGUAGCAGAAUUUAUUCGAACGUCUGUCAAAGGAGAGGAACUCUGCCGACUGAAACCUUUAUUUUUCUAGGUUGACCUCGGAUCAGGUAGGGAUACCCGCUGAACUUAAGCAUAUCAAUAAGCGGAGGA